CAAAUAGCACAAAGAAUGAGACACAGAUGAUGUUAUGUUUUAUUUAUUUAUUUGUGUACAAAGAAGCACUGUUUGAUUUGCUGUCAUUUCCAAAUGCAGGCUAGACUUAUUAUCUUGCCACUGUCCCUAGCAGAUCAAUUACAGCAAGUGUAGAGUUGGCAAGAUAACUAGAAUGGCAAAAUUAGCCCCAUAUAAAAUUUGUUCCCUGGUGGCUCCUGGCAUGAAGCAAGAUAACCAGUGUAAACAACAAUGGCUGUAUUUGUAAAAGUUAAAAUUUUAGAAACCUGUUAGCGACAUGAAGAUUUAAUCGAGUCUGUAAGAAUUGUCUACUUAUGGUUCAUUAUCCUUCUGUUAAAGUAUGUCUUCAGUUUGGAAAGACAAUACAGUGAAAGGUGUUUGUCUGUUUGUUUUGUUUUUCAUAUGUAUACCCCAAGAGAAGCUGCUUAUGAGCAUCCUGGUCCCAGGUCAAUUAUUCCAGUAUUGUAACUGUACUGAAGAACACUUUGCAAACAAUUUAAAUGAGCAGCGAAGGUCAUCAAGCACUGGGAGGUGGCUGAGUAGAGUCCGGCCAGAGGCGUGGCAGUUGAGGAAGAGCAUCCCGGUAGUUUAACAGCAGGAGCAAUGACCCUUGCUUUGUUUCUGCAGGAAAUGAAUAGAAUUUUUUGAGCUUCUUUUCAGGUAAGAAAAUUCAGAUUCUCAUGAGGUUCCUCAUUUGUAUAAUACCACAGAAAGUGACACAGUCACUUGUUAAACAGUGUUGGUUCUCAGGUACGGUGGAGAAACAUUAACAUGGCAGCUUCAUCUUCUCUUUGAGUGCUCAGGUAGUCCAGUGAUUAGCUCAGUCUGAGGCCUAAAGAGAUACACAGUGAAGGCUGGGCAACUUUAAUUUGGUUGGAGUGAUAAAGUGAUAAUGGUGAUUAAAGCCUUUGAUGCAUCUUGAUUCAGAGUUUCAGCCAUUGUACUGACUUCUCUACAUGUCAAAAGGUUGCAGUAUUAUCUGAGAAGAAAGAUUUCUUGUCCUUGGGCACAAAUUAGUAGAAAGAGUCUAUUCAUUGUUAGUGCAGUUCCAGGUAAAAUUUUUUUCUUUGUUCCUGGUUUUGGAUGCCCUUGGAAUGAUCCACCAAAUGCUACGUGAACCUUGGUGUAAAUUAGAAAAGGGUAGCUUUAUCUGGUACUUGAUAGAAAUGACACUAAUGGCAUCGGGUGUCUUUUCCAGAGGUGGGUUUUGCUUGAUAGAAAGAGGAAGAAUGCAAGUAGAAAAAGAGUAUUUUGGGGGGGAGGAUAUUAUCAUUUCUUUUAUUCAAGAUAGAGGUUUCGUAGAUCAAAGUGGAGGGUGCAGUUCAUCUUUGGGUGCAUUUGGAUGAAAUCACUAAAUAUGUAUCCUGAAAAUCCAGUAAUGUUAGGCAUUUGUUGAUUUUUUUUUCCUUUUGAAAACAUUGCCUAAAAUUUGUAUUGUUUUUAUAAGACAUGACUGCUGAUGAUAAAGCAGCAGCACAUGAUUACUACAAGGCAUGGGCAGAGAAAGAGAACUAGAAGCAUGCCCAUGUUAAUGUUUGAGAUCAGGCACUUCCUUUUUAAAUGCCUGCAGCUGCGUAACAGCCCACUCCUGAAGUCCUUGCUCAACAGAAACUCCCACUAACCUCAAAGCACCACUGUGGGAAGUGAAACACCAAAAGCGUGCUGCAAGAGAAACAAGGUCAGCGGGAGAUUUCACUUGGCCAGGACUGCAGGAGUUAAGCUGGAAGAGAAAAACAGGUUCUUGUUUGAAGGCAGCUUGUAUCUUAUCAAGAAAUUUACAAUGAUAGGGAAACUCAUGGCACAAACUAAUUCACAAACUAAUUUUUCCUCUGUUGCCAUUGUUAUUACUCCUUUUGAAUAAAAACAAAACAAAAAUCGGUUGUCA
rnacentral:lncRNA from 1 species